rnacentral:rRNA from 1 species
GCAUGGCUGUCGUCAGCUCGUGUCUUGAGAUGUUGGGUUAAGUCCCGCAACGAGCGCAACCCUUUUUUUGAAUUGCUUGGCGCUUUUAAACGCUUUUAGAGAGGAAAUUCAAAAUACUGCCGGUGACAAGCCGGAGGAAGGUGAGGAUGACGUCAAGUCAGCAUGCCCCUUAUAUCCUGGGCGACACACGUGCUACAAUGGCCGGAACAAAGAGAAGCGACCCCGCGAGGACAAGCUAACCUGGGAAAUCCGGUCUCAGUUCGGAUUGCAGGCUGCAACUCGCCUGCAUGAAGUUGGAAUCAAUAGUAAUCGCAGGUCAGCCACACUGCGGUGAAUACGUUUCCGGGUUUUGCACACCCCGCCCGUCACACCACGGAAAUUGGCUACGCCCGAAGUCAUUACUCUAACCAUCUAAUGGAGGGGGAUGCC